GACGAACGUUGGCGGCGUGCUUAACACAUGCAAGUCGAACGGAAAGGCCCUGCUUUUGUGGGGUGCUCGAGUGGCGAACGGGUGAGUAACACGUGAGUAACCUGCCCUUGGCUUUGGGAUAACUUCAGGAAACUGGGGCUAAUACCGGAUAGGAGCUCCUGCUGCAUGGUGGGGGUUGGAAAGUUUCGGCGGUUGGGGAUGGACUCGCGGCUUAUCAGCUUGUUGGUGGGGUAGUGGCUUACCAAGGCUUUGACGGGUAGCCGGCCUGAGAGGGUGACCGGCCACAUUGGGACUGAGAUACGGCCCAGACUCCUACGGGAGGCAGCAGUGGGGAAUAUUGCACAAUGGGCGGAAGCCUGAUGCAGCAACGCCGCGUGCGGGAUGACGGCCUUCGGGUUGUAAACCGCUUUCGCCUGUGACGAAGCGUGAGUGACGGUAAUGGGUAAAGAAGCACCGGCUAACUACGUGCCAGCAGCCGCGGUGAUACGUAGGGUGCGAGCGUUGUCCGGAUUUAUUGGGCGUAAAGGGCUCGUAGGUGGUUGAUCGCGUCGGAAGUGUAAUCUUGGGGCUUAACCCUGAGCGUGCUUUCGAUACGGGUUGACUUGAGGAAGGUAGGGGAGACUGGAAUUCCUGGUGGAGCGGUGGAAUGCGCAGAUAUCAGGAGGAACACCAGUGGCGAAGGCGGUUCUCUGGGCCUUUCCUGACGCUGAGGAGCGAAAGCGUGGGGAGCGAACAGGCUUAGAUACCCUGGUAGUCCACGCUGUAAACGGUGGGUACUAGGUGUGGGGUCCAUUCCACGGGUUCCGUGCCGUAGCUAACGCUCUAAGUACCCCGCCUGGGGAGUACGGCCGCAAGGCUAAAACCCAAAGGAAUUGACGGGGCCCCGCACAAGCGGCGGAGCAUGCGGAUUAAUUCGAUGCAACGCGUAGAACCUUACCUGGGUUUGACAUGGAUCGGGAGUGCUCAGAGAUGGGUGUGCCUCUUUUGGGGUCGGUUCACAGGUGGUGCAUGGCUGUCGUCAGCUCGUGUCGUGAGAUGUUGGGUUAAGUCCCGCAACGAGCGCAACCCUUGUUCACUGUUGCCAGCACGUUAUGGUGGGGACUCAGUGGAGACCGCCGGGGUCAACUCGGAGGAAGGUGGGGAUGACGUCAAGUCAUCAUGCCCCUUAUGUCCAGGGCUUCACGCAUGCUACAAUGGCUGGUACAGAGAGUGGCGAGCCUGUGAGGGUGAGCGAAUCUCGGAAAGCCGGUCUCAGUUCGGAUUGGGGUCUGCAACUCGACCUCAUGAAGUCGGAGUCGCUAGUAAUCGCAGAUCAGCAACGCUGCGGUGAAUACGUUCCCGGGGCU
rnacentral:rRNA from 1 species